UACGUAGGGUGCGAGCGUUAAUCGGAAUUACUGGGCGUAAAGCGUGCGUAGGCGGUUCGUUAAGUGCGUCGUGAAAGCCCCGGGCUCAACCUGGGAAUGGCGAUGGAAACUGGCGGGCUGGAGUAUGGCAGAGGGGGGUGGAAUUCCGCGUGUAGCAGUGAAAUGCGCAGAUAUCGGGAGGAACACCAAUGGCGAAGGCAGCUUGCUGGGACGGUACUGACGCUGAGACGCGAAAGCGUGGGGAGCGAACAGG
rnacentral:rRNA from 1 species